rnacentral:ncRNA from 2 species
CUGCCCGAGGGGCGCUGCAGCAUUCGCGUGCAGGCCAGGCGAAUGCGAGGCUCGGGCAGGUUGGGCAUAGGCAACGGCGCCCAUUCCCC